rnacentral:tRNA from 2 species
GGGUCCAUAGCUCAGUUGGUUAGAGCGCGUCGUUGACAUCGACGAGGUCAGUGGUUCGAGUCCACUUGGACCCA